rnacentral:piRNA from 1 species
ACAGAGAGCUAUAUUUGUAUAGUGGAUGUA